GAUGAACGCUGGCGGCGUGCCUAAUACAUGCAAGUCGAGCGAACAGACGAGGAGCUUGCUCCUCUGACGUUAGCGGCGGACGGGUGAGUAACACGUGGAUAACCUACCUAUAAGACUGGGAUAACUUCGGGAAACCGGAGCUAAUACCGGAUAAUAUAUUGAACCGCAUGGUUCAAUAGUGAAAGACGGUUUUGCUGUCACUUAUAGAUGGAUCCGCGCCGCAUUAGCUAGUUGGUAAGGUAACGGCUUACCAAGGCAACGAUGCGUAGCCGACCGGAGAGGGUGAUCGGCCACACUGGAACUGGGACACGGUCCAGACUCCUACGGGAGGCAGCAGUAGGGAAUCUUCCGCAAGGGGCGAAAGCCUGACGGAGCAACGCCGCGUGAGUGAUGAAGGUCUUCGGAUCUUAAAACUCUGUUAUUAGGGAAGAACAAAUGUGUAAGUAACUAUGCACGUCUUGACGGUACCUAAUCAGAAAGCCACGGCUAACUACGUG
rnacentral:rRNA from 1 species